UUCUUCUUCUUCUUCUUCUAAUAACGUUUUAUGGCGGAUGGCAAACCAACUUAUGGUGCCUCGCUUGCUCUCGCUUUCACUAUCUGGAAAAAACAAACAGAGAGGGAAAGUAUCAUAGUAACACCUUAGUGAGCUACUUAUGGUGGAGUGAAUAUUUUGUCUGCUUCAUCUGUCUAUCCACACAGCACAUUACAAGAGCCAUUACUAACUUUACUAUAGGCUCUGGUAAUUUGAGGCCUCAAUGCUUGCUGCUUAGCUUAAUUUGCUCUACUACCCCAGCACCAGCCUACACAGUGUACAUGGUUGUGAAUGUCAUUUCAUGUUGAGUGGCAAAGUGGCAAAACGGAUGCAUUCAUCAAGGACGAAACCAUGUUCUGCAGCUGCAUAAGGCUAAGCAAAUCUAAAGCUGACCUCAAACAGACCAGGCAUCUGUGUUUGUGAUGCAGCGGGGGACUUUUUUCAAAGAGACAACAUCUGAUAACAUCUGCAGGGCCAGAGGCUCCCUCUCUCACAAUUGAGAAAGGGGAGAGAGAGCAAGAAAGAAAAAAGGAAAGAGACACAGGAUGCAACACUGGGUGCUGAGAAACACAAGUGCACUAA